UUCAGGAUGGCCGAGUGGUGUAAGGCGCCAGACUCAAGUUCUGGUCCCUUCCUAGGGGCAUGGGUUCAAAUCCCACUCCUGACA